rnacentral:rRNA from 1 species
GAGUUUGAUCAUGGCUCAGAUUGAACGCUGGCGGCAUGCCUUACACAUGCAAGUCGAACGGCAGCACGGGAGCUUGCUCCUGGUGGCGAGUGGCGAACGGGUGAGUAAUGCAUCGGAACGUAUCCUGGAGUGGGGGAUAACGUAGCGAAAGUUACGCUAAUACCGCAUAUUCUGUGAGCAGGAAUGCGGGGGACCUUCGGGCCUCGCGCUCUUGGAGCGGCCGAUGUCGGAUUAGCUAGUUGGUGAGGUAAAGGCUCACCAAGGCGACGAUCCGUAGCAGGUCUGAGAGGAUGAUCUGCCACACUGGAACUGAGACACGGUCCAGACUCCUACGGGAGGCAGCAGUGGGGAAUUUUGGACAAUGGGGGCAACCCUGAUCCAGCCAUGCCGCGUGAGUGAAGAAGGCCUCGGUUGUAAG